rnacentral:rRNA from 1 species
AACGUGGAGACAGGUGGUGCAUGGCUGUCGUCAGCUCGUGUCGUGAGAUGUUGGGUUAAGUCCCGCAACGAGCGCAACCCUCACCCCUUGUUGCCAUCAGGUCAUGCUGGGCACUCUAGGGGAACUGCCCCGGUCAACGGGGAGGAAGGCGGGGAUGACGUCAAGUCAUCAUGCCCCUUACGUCCUGGGCUACACACGUGCUACAAUGGCCGGUACAAAGGGAUGCCACACCGCGAGGUAGAGCUAAACCCAAAAAGCCGGUCUAAGUUCAGAUUGGAGUCUGCAACUCGACUCCAUGAAGGAGGAAUCGCUAGUAAUCGCGUAUCAGCACGACGCGGUGAAUACGUUCCCGGGCCUUGUACACACCGCCCGUCACACCACGAAAGCCAGCUGUACUCGAAGUCGCUGAG